rnacentral:sRNA from 1 species
AUGAAUUGUAAUGGGAGCUGAUGCUGGCAGUCUGACUUGACUGCAUGUGCUCGCUUUCAACAAUCUUUAUCCCAAACACCCUGUGCACCUUAUGUGAGGGGUUAUCCGAGUUGAUUGCUGCCAUUAUCUGGUGGUUUUCUUUGGAUUCCCUUCACAAUUAUAACACACUCUGAUUAUAAUGCUGAACGUGAUUGUGCCUGAUCAAGGCCUUAAUAAAAUACAACUUUUAACAACGGAUCUCUUGGCUCUCGCAUCGAUGAAGAACGCAGCGAAAUGCGAUAAGUAAUGUGAAUUGCAGAAUUCAGUGAAUCAUCGAAUCUUUGAACGCACCUUGCGCUCCCUGGUAUUCCGGGGAGCACGCCUGUUCGAGUGUCGUGAAAUUCUCAAGCUGGAUGCUUUUUCCUUGGAAAAGUGAUCCUAGCUUGGUUAUUGGGCUUUGCUGUGUCUUGCAUUGGAACAGCUGGCCUUAAAAGUAUUAGCUGACCUUUAUGUGAUUAUUGGUUCUACUCAGCGUGAUAAUGAAUCUGACCGCUGAGGACAUCUUUCGGGAUGGCCAAUUUCCGUUUGGGUUGCUUCUAAUCUGGUUUAUGGAUUCCUUGUGGAUCUGUUCCAUUUUUCAAC